UCCUGAUUAACUAGCGUUGGUUGAGCUGGAUAUACAGGGUGUUCAUCAGUUAUGGACAAAAGCACGUGUGUACUGCUCCUUUCUCUUUUGUUUGUAACCUGCUGCAUCUUGCCUAAAACAGACGCAGUUCACAACCCGGCUUACAAUAAGGGCAGGCCAAAUGGAAAGCGAUCCGCUAUCUCGAUGUGGAAACGGGAAAGAAACAUCCGGGACAUCUGUGCCGCAAUGAACGACGCUUGUAAAAGAGGAACAGAAGGAUUGGAAGCCACGCUUGAAAUUUAAAAGAAACUAAUUAGACCAGGAGCAAACUUAAAGAAAAAAUCAAAUGUAAAUCGCCUUGAAAUACUAUUAUAAUAUUAAAAUUACUGGAAUGUUUAUCAGAUUGUGUCAUUAAAGUUCGCAAAGUGAUACAGGAAAA